rfam:Triticum urartu cultivar G1812 contig507150, whole genome shotgun sequence.
CACAUACUUCCUCCGUCCGAAGAAACUUGUCAUCAAAAUGGACAAAAAGUGAUGUAUCUAAAACUAAAAUACAUCUAGAUACAUCCCCUUUUAUUCAUUUUGAUGACAAGUAUUUUCGAACGAAGGGAGUAUCUG